GAUUAAGAACGUAGCGAAAUGCGAUAAGUAAUGUGAAUUGCAGAAUUCAGUGAAUCAUCGAAUCUUUGAACGCACAUUGCGCCCCUUGGUAUUCCGAGGGGCAUGCCUGUUCGAGCGUCAUUAUAACCCCUCAAGCUCAGCUUGGUGUUGGGGCCUGCUGCACUGGCAGCCCUUAAAAUCAGUGGCGGCGCCAUCUGGCUCUAAGCGUAGUAAUUCUUCUCGCUAUGGAGUCCUGGUGGAUGCUUGCCAUCAACCCCCAAUUUUUCUAUGGUUGACCUCGGAUCAGGUAGGGAUACCCGCUGAACUUAAGCAUAUAAUAAGCGGAGGA
rnacentral:misc_RNA from 1 species